CUCGGCUUUAUACUUAUACCUCAGGGCUUCCCACCUCCGGUGUCCUAUUCCCAUGAGUCUCUGUACCCGGGAGCCCCAGCGCAGGAAAGUUGCUCGCCUCUUUGGCUCCCAGCUACAGAAACCCGCCAAACCACCAUUGUCCCCAAAGAGUGUCCCUGCAGCAGGGCCGGACUGGGGAUUCCAAAGCAGCCCUGGAAAAAAAAUCUAUGCCAGACCCAUAAGUCAUUGCGCC